rnacentral:lncRNA from 1 species
UAGUUGAUUGGCUUCUGUAUCCUCAAGAUGACUGUGGACAAGUCUCUCAGGCCUGUGGGGAUUGCUACAUAUUCAGGCUGAGAAAAUGUCUUUUCUCACUCCCCUAAACCCUCUGCUAUUUGGCUCUCCAGUCUCCCAAAUUUUGAGGAUGCCUAUAACAUAUUUCCAAAUUUGUUGUAAAGGAAAUUUUAAUAGCUGAGAUAUCUUGGUAUCCAGCCAUUUAGCAUAGCUGUUUUAUUAACUUAGUCCCUACUUUUUUCCUGGAAGGAUGUUGUAUCUCAUAGCUAGAACAGGGAAAAUGAUGGUAUCUCCUUCAAAAACAGGAAAAUUGGAAUUCCCAUUGUGGCUCAGUGGUAACGAACCUGACUAUUAUCUAUGAGGAUGUUGGUUUGAUCCCUGGCUUUGCUCAGUGGGUUAAGGCUCUGGCGUUGCCAGAAGUUGUGGUGUAGUAGGUCAGAGACACUCCUUAGAUAUGACAUUGCUGUGGCUAUGGUGUAGGCUGGAAGCUGCAGCUCUGAUUCAACUCCUAGCCUAGGAACUUACAUAUGCCACAGAUGUGCCCCCAACAAAAAAAGCAAAAAACAAAACAAAACAAACCCAGGAAAAUUAAUGGGGGCUAUAUCUGAAUAAACUUAUCAUUUUGAUAGGAAAGUACUCUUCUAGAAAAUAUGAAGCAUUCACAGUAUACAACUUUCACACCCUUCCUCAGAAUACAAAUAUUUCUUUAACUCAUUUAGCGUGUAUCAGAUUUUGCCACUUGGGAUUCAAAACAGCAAUAAGAGACCAUAUGCAUGAAGCUGCCAUUUUUAGAAAACAGAUCAUGAGAAUAGUUGGCUGGAAACAAAGUAAGGGGGAAUUAGUUGUAUAGUAAAUUAUUCUUUUUAUAAAUAAGUUCAACAAAGAAUUCUUUUAAAAAUAAAGCUGAUCAUAUGCAAUGAUUAUUGAUUUAUUUGACACAGAUGAGGGAAAAGAUGACAUUUGAAGUUAAAAUGUAGGUAUCACAAGUGGAUGAAGAUCAAUUACAAUAAGAGUGGGAGGGAAAAGAAUAUUACCAGAAUUUCAGUUCACAUACAUUCUUCCCUUCCAACCUCCAGAGCUAAAUUUUGAGACUUUUUGAGGAUAGGUUACAAAUGGAUUUAACAAAUUCACCAGAAGCCUUUUUGCAUGGUGACUAAGGCUCCUCCUUGGAAAGUACUUGCCCUGAGGAAAAAGAUGCCUGGAUCAAGACAGUGAAUGUGAAAGAGAGAGUCUUUCUGAGCAGAACACUGAACCCUCCUCAUCAGCUUUAUUUUUUUGGCUCAAGCAUCCCUGCCCCUGACUCAUGGAUGAGCCUAUACAGAUUAGAGACCUAGUGACCUGAAAGCCUUGUAAGUUGUUGGAACAUAAACAGCACAUUCUUAGAGAUGCCUCUAAUAUAGGACAGGUAUGUUGUGAGCCUACAAGUGCUUUGGGUUGAUGCUGACUUGAAUACUGGGGCUACUAGUUGGAAAGUUUGGUUCCUAGUGAAAGAUGGAAGAACAGUACCACAACUUGUUAGAGACUCUGGGGCCUCAUAGGAGUAUUCUUGUUUUUGUGGCAACUCUUGGGGACCCCUACAAAUAUUUGAUGGAGAUUUUGUAGGGUGCUGAAGGUUUUGAAUUUUUUGGUCUAAGCCCCGGGCCAGUGAAAUGUGAGUUACAAUUUUUGUGAAGCCCAGGAAUAUUCAGUUUAAACAGAAAUCUAUACUUUGGCCCAAGAUGAGCCUGAAAAUUUGGCCUGGCUUGAAGCUUUUGUGGGCUUACAAUAAUGAUACUGCCUUGCAGGCAUUUUGGAUGACCCUCGUGAUUGAAAAGAGACUCCUGGUUUUAAUCUCAGAAACUGUCAGAAUGAUUUAGCUCUUUGGGGGAAUCUAGACUGAGGGUUAUAUUCUUGCCAAUAGAAACUGGGAUAUAAAACAACUCUAGGGUCUUUAAAAAGCUUAAAGCAUGGCCAGUAUUCUAGGAGCUUUCCUGGAAUGUGUCUGGAAGGUGUUUCUGUAUGAACCAGUUGCCAUACCAGGCACAUUCACCUGGCAACACAGUAAUCUGGCAUCCUUGCGAAACCCCUUGUUAGCAGAUCUCUACCAAGUUUGUACACAGUAAAGUUCUCCUUGACCAAAGGUCAGGCUUCCUCUGUUCCCUGGAAUGCAAAUGCAGAAAUAAGCAAAAAAGAUCCUUGAGUACCCAGAAUAGCUUCCAUGUCCCCAGACUAAAGCCACAGACUUUUCUUCUUAAAGGCUUAGUGCUUUCACUUAGAGAUUGUUUAUUCUUACUUAACCGAAGUCAUAAUAAUUGUGGGUUUUUCUGGCUUCCCAGCUCAAAGUAGAUUAUAAGUAACAAAUUUGGAAGGAGUAAGGGAAUAUUAGAGGCAAACAUACUAGCAGUAAUGAAGUGACAGUUGUUAAAUAAGGAAGGAGGAAGCAGAAAAUUAAGAACACAGGCACAAAACUGUGUGUUUUUUUCAGAAUUAUGCAGUGAUAGCAAUUCAUUAUGAAGGCAGUUAUCAAAAAGGCCAAAUUAUGUUCAGAAGUUGCUAUUUUAAAAAAGCAGAGAAUAAUUUGAUGAAGUUUUAAAAAAUUUACAUAAAAUGAUGUAAAAAAUAGGUUUGAGCAUCCAAAGGAGUAAGUUUGAGCUAUCUAGAUGAAAUGCAUGGCCUGCCUCUUUCCAAAGAUGAUUACUAUAUUUGAAUUCUCAGAGCACUCUAUUUGUACCUUUCUAAUGGUGCUUGCUGUUUUCAUCAUUAUAUUACAGUCAUUUGAGUUCAUGCUAAAUGCCAUUUAACUCACUCGGAGGUGUGGAGGAAGCUGGAUUUAGUUUCUAUCAUGCCAUGAUGCAUGUGACUGAUGAAUCAGUCACUCUCUGCUUUAGCUUUUUUAUUUAUAAGACAUAGGUUUGGAACAGAUGAACUUGAGAUUCUUCCGGUUUGUGAAUUUUAUUCCUUUAUAUAGUAAAUUAUAAGAAUUUUAUAGCAUGGUGCAGAGGUAUAGGUGAAUCUCAAUUUUACACAUAAAGGAUAUCUGUGGUCACAACCAAACAAGUUAUAUAGACCUAUUGCCUAAUAAACACUCAUCUUUGUAACAUAUACAAGACGGGUUUUUUAAAAAGGUUAUAUUUGGCAUAUUUUGUUCUUACUUGCUUGGCAGCUAUUUUCUCUUCUGAUAUUACUUUGGAAAAAAUGCCUUUGUUACUGUCUCAGUCUGUGUGAUCCUGUGAAGUGACCUCAUCCACUGGCUCUAGAAUGGUCAGAUAACCGAGGCCUGACCAGUGACGUAAGCCAUCACUAAGGGCAGAGUGAUUGGUUCAGUGAUGGACAUGUGACCCAAGCGGACCCAAAAAAAGCCAAAUGUGGGACUUUUCCUAGAACUAUUGACACAUUCAGGAAAUAUGUAGAGGUUCUACCUUCUUAACGCUGUGUGCUUUCUUUAAGAAUAUAUUCCUGGAGUUCACGUUGUGGCGCAGCGGUUAACAAAUCCGACUAGGAACCAUGAGGUUGCGGGUUCUAUCCCUGGCCUUGCUCAGUGGGUUAACGAUCUGGCAUUGCCGUGAGCUGUGGUGUAGGUCACAGACGUGGGUCAGAUCUGGCGUUGCUGUGGCUCUGGCAUAGGCCGGUGGCUACAGCUCCAAUUCCACCUCUAUCCUGGGAACUCCAUAUGCCACGGGAGUGGCCCCAGAAAAGG